rnacentral:rRNA from 1 species
GAUGAACGCUGGCGGCGUGCCUAACACAUGCAAGUCGAACGGAGUCCAGCCUUUAAGACCUUCGGGUCAAAGGGGGGAAGACUGAGUGGCGGACGGGUGAGUAACACGUGGGCAACCUGGCUCAUAGAGGGGGAUAACAGAGAGAAAUUUCUGCUAAUACCGCAUAAGCACACACUGCCGCAUGGCAGAGGGUGAAAAGAGAAUCGCUAUGAGAUGGACCCGCGUCUGAUUAGCCAGUUGGCAGGGUAAGAGCCUACCAAAGCGACGAUCAGUAGCCGAUCUGAGAGGAUGAACGGCCACAUUGGGACUGAGACACGGCCCAAACUCCUACGGGAGGCAGCAGUGGGGGAUAUUGCACAAUGGGGGGAACCCUGAUGCAGCGACGCCGCGUGAGUGAAGAAGUAUUUCGGUAUGUAAAGCUCUAUCAGCAGGGAAGAUAAUGACAGUACCUGAAUAAGAAGCCCCGGCUAACUACGUG